GAUAGCAAACAAGUACCGCGAGGGAAAGAUGAAAAGGACUUUGAAAAGAGAGUCAAAGAGUGCUUGAAAUUGUCGGGAGGGAAGCGAAUGGGGGCCGGCGAUGCGUCCCGGUCGGAUGUGGAACGGUGUAAGUCGGUCCGCCGAUCGGCUCGGGACGUGGACCGGUGCGGAUUGGUACGGCGGCCAAAGCCCAGGCUGUUGAUAUGCCUGUGGAGAUGUCGUUGUGCCGAUCGUGGUUGGCAGCGCGUGUGACAACUCGAACCUUCGACUUACUUCGUGUAACGAUACGUGUUAA
rnacentral:lncRNA from 1 species